UUGUGGAAUGUUUCUUUGUCCAGCUCACUGAUGAGAUAUUCAUCUAUAAGCACUGCAAAUUGACCCCUCUUUGCUGGCUACCAGCAGGGUCUUAGCUGCUGGUUGCUGCCCUUCAAGCCUGGGGAUUUGGGCAGUUUCCAGCCCACUUCAUUCUAUUCAGCCAGGCUGUAUUUCCCUUAGAAGGGCAUAAAAGGUACUUACCCGCUCAGCAGAUUUAAUUGCUACAGAUUUUGAUGUGUGAUGAAAAUCAGUGCCAAUUAUUUGACAUUUUAGAAACUGAAGUACAACUUUCAAUAUAAAGACAUCUCCCUUGAUUUUUCUCAUGUUUUCUUUAAAUACUUAUUUCUGUGUAAAAUAAACAGCCCUUAUGCUUCAGUUCUGCAAUAGUGAAAUGUACUGUCAAUUAGUACUUUAAAGCGUACUUCAUUUUGUUCCUUGUUCUGGUACUGUGGAUAUGAUAGGGCAACAAUAGCUAUGUCCAUCAAAAGCUGUGUCAUCCUAUAAAGACUUCAAUAACUACAUUCCUAUGUUAGAUGCAUAUUAACAAGAUAGCAGAUUUUCUUGCAUAUUAGAAACUGUUACCUUGCUGAAAAUAAAAUUUGAAUAUGAGUUGAUUUUCAUAGUAUCACUGUGAUUAAAACGUCACCUCAACACUCAUUCUAAUUUUAGAUAGACGUAGGUUGCAUGAAAUAAAUAUUUUUGUGUUUGAUCCUUCUAUAAUAAUCUGGUCUCACAAAUAUUGUCACACCUUUUUUUUCUUUUUCUUUCCCUAAUUUUGAACUUCUGAAUCUGAACGAGCAUUUAUGACACUUGUGAGUUUUGGGUAGACAAUAUUUGUCUGAAGUGAUAUUGGUAAUAUGGACAAUAUAAUAUGAACAGCAGGUACCAGGCAGAUGUGAAGUGCUGCAGGACAUAUACGUUACCAACACUGGUCCUGCCCUCCAUGUGAGGAUUUGCGUAGCAGCCAUGUGGUCCUGCUCACUGUGUUUCUUUCUCCCCAACAAAAUUGGAUUUUUAGAAUAGUCUGGAAGGAAGGAGAGCUUCACUUGCAAAUGCACUGUAACUGAGAGGGCUAGAUAUUCUGGGUUUUCUUUUGUGCAUUUUAAAAAAAUCUUACUUUUGCUAUCAAAGCUUGGUUAGUAUGUUGCCUUUGUUUUAUAGGAUUUUGAAUUGUCUGGUGCAGAGAUAGGCACUAACUGUUUUAAAUGCCAUUGACUGCAAUAGUCUGAGGAAUUAACUCUAUUGUAGUUGUCCCUACUAAUUCUGGAUUUGCAAAAUGAAAGCAAACGAAUUGUUAGAUUAAACCUAAAGAAAAAAGGGUAUUUUUAUUCAUAUGCUAAAAUUGAGGGGUAUAUUGAAGAGAGUUGGGUUCAGCUGUGGGAAAAAGAUAUUGACAGAAUUGUGUAAGAAACACUGGAACAUCCUCACCUGUCAGCAUGUAUUAAACAGACACCUUGGAGAAGGCUAAGAGAUUGGGUAUGUGUUAACGACUUAUCUGAGCAGCUACUGGGGCUGCUAUCUAGCAUUAUCAUCUUGGAUGUCAUUAAGUAACAGUCCUCAGAAUUGAGCAUAUAUUGCUUGAAGUCAAGUUGGUCAGAGAUGCAGUUGCAAAUAUUUUUUUGUUUUUGUUCAUCCGCUCAAAAUUGUAAGGGAACCUGCAGUAUAGAACUAUCCCUGUACUUUCUACUUUUUCAACCCUGAUUACUUUUAUUGUGAUUCUGGUAUCGCUCAGAAGGUAAAUUUCCUGGAGAAAGGAUGUAGUUUUUCUUGUUUGUUUGUUUGGUUUUUUUUUGGUGCUGUUUGAUUGUUUUGUGUUUUUGUUUUGUUUUAGAUAGGAUAAUCUAGACUGUGUUAAUUAAAAUUUAAUUAUUACUAAGGAGAAUAUCUCCCUAAAAUCUUUUUGAACAGGGUAUGGCACCACAAGAAUGUUACAAAUCUCAUUAAGUUAAAAAAAAAAAAAAAAAAGAAGGCUUAUUUACAACAGUUGAUUUUAUUUCUUUUAUUAUGCAGUGUAAAGGGUCUAAUCACGAAAGUUCUUUCGACUUGAGCAUGUAAAGCCUUUUGUUGAGUAUCUUGGUGCACGUUCCAUCCUUCUUCCACUGACUUGAAAAGCCUCUAUAAAACCUCCUUAGGAGAAUGUUUAUAUGGCACCUUGCAAGUUUAAAGUGUCAGUAAUGUAUUUGUAGGUGUUUUAUAUAUAUGUACACCUCCACUUUUGUCAAGUUUUGUAGUAUCAUUAAACCCAUCAUGUCUUUUUUUUUUUUUUUUCCCCUUGUGAUCUCUGACAAACCUCAGAGAAGGGAGAGACUGCAAUGGAGAACAGUGAAACCAGAGACAUCAGUGUUGUCAGUGGUACCCUUGUAACAGAACAGAAAAAAUUCAAAUGUCUACAGAUUAAAAUGUCACAUCAGCUGUAAAUCUGUUUCAGGCAGGUUAUGUUAAUACCAUUUCUCUUUCCAGUGUUCCGUGACAGUAUGAGAAAAGGGAGGAUUGGCGACAUUUGCUCAGGAUUGAUUCUGAGAGUGAAAGGAAAUUUUAUUCCAUUUAUAAGUAAAAAUGACUCUAGACAAUAUUUGUCUGAAGUGAUAUUGUUAAUAUGGACAAAAAGAGUUAGAGAUUUUAUAAAUAGGGAAAUCAAAAAGUUGGGAUAUAUAUACCACUCAGCAGUGUGUAAUAUACUCUGUCUUGAACUAUGAACAGUUCAGUUGUAAGAAUACCUAUUCAUAUCCCUGGAGCCAUGAACCAGAUGUUGUCUCCCAUGAAACACUAAAAAAUAUUUCCAUGUUUACUGCUACUUUUAAUGAUCUGCGUUAAUGGAUGAGGCAUAUCUUAUGCUAAGCUAUAAUCUUGCUGCCACAAACUAUUAGGAAUGCAAAAUGGGAAGAGGGUAAGCAGGGUCUUUCAAAAUGGCAGAGGUGGAUGAUUUAAUUGUUUGUACUCUAGGCAUCCUCAUGUGUUAUACAACACAUGUUAUCCUCAAGUGUUAUACAAAAACAGCACAGAUACUGACAAAUAUUCGAACAGAACAAUUCUUCCUUGUGCCAGUCAGUUUAGCCACAAAUGCAACAUCUUUUCUCUAGAACUGCAUUACUAUUUGUGAUUGCAUUUGUGGCAGCUUGAGUCUGUUGGGCUGAUAUCUCAUGUCCACUGAGGACAGAUAGAUAGCAGUAGUCGGACUGGAAAUUCAGAUUUCUUUUCUCAUAAUUCUGUUCCUUUGUCUCAUAGUCCUAUACCUUUUGUAAAUUUACCUCAACAAAGAAUAUUACAGUGGCAUUUAAAAAGUUCAGUUUAGAUUAACUGUCAGUAUUUUGCGGGUGAAGGAGAACUCAGGAUACCUUCCUUACCUAUGCUGAAUAAAUAAAGUGAUUAUCUUUUUACAAUUAUCAUUGUAUUUGCCUAAUGUUUAACAUACGUACUUGGAGAUCAAAUCACCAAUAAUGAAAUAGUACAUAAAAGUAUUUUCACCUCUCUUAAAGGUGAAGAUUAUCAUUCCAACAUAAGGUUAGAAAUCAGGCGUAUUCAGUUCUUCAAAGAAAUGUGAAAGGUAUUCAUUGGGGGUUUAAAUGUAUUAUAAGAAAUUCAGAUCAGAAUAAAUUUUAUGUUCAGCUGAGUCUCAACUAAGACGUGACAUGGGACUGAGAAAUAGGUGUUGAUGAGUGUAUUCUGGUAUGCAGGCAUAAAUUGAAAGAUUGCAACUAAUAGCUUAGUUAAGCUUUUGCUAUAAUUAGCAAAAGCACUGUUCUUUUCCUUUAGAAUUAUUUAUAGACUAAUUAUUUUCAAACAUUCACUCCUCACUAAUGACUAAUUGCAUAUCAAGUUUGAGUUUUGAAAAUGAAAUGGCGUUUGCAGCUCCACAGAUUAAGGGUGGUUCUUCCCUCAUGCAGUUUGUUCAGAUCUUGCUAAACCUCCAGCUCCCAGAGAAAGGUAGACCUAUACUACUCAUUCACUAAGAUUUUGCUUGGACCAAAAAGAAAUAUUAGUGGGUUUUUCUGGAUGAGAAUCUUCUUUUGUUUAUUGACUUUUGUCUGUUGUUUACUAUAUGGUAAGUGAGAAAGUGAGGUGUUAGCAUCUGAUGUCUGAAUUCUUUUCUUUCAACAAAAUGUGUAGGGAACUGCUUGCUCUUUAACAAUUACUGCUAGUUGACUGAAGCAGAUGCUUUACUUAGCCUGUGAGGAGACAUUAAAUUAAACUACUGCAGCAUCCGGAGAGAUCAUGAUGAUAGUUCUGUAUUAGGAGAUUAGGUAUAUCUGCUUUGUUGUAACCAGUAGCAAGCUUUCUUACUUGGGUCUGUGUCUACUGCCCUUUGUAUAAUUACAAUUUCUGAGCAUUUCAACAGAGAACUCUGUAUUUUCUCUCAUUUUUUUUCCACAGCUAAUACAAAUUUGGUAAUAACAUAGCACUUCUUUGCUGGGACACGUAUGAUGUAAUAAAUUCCAGUAUCUGUAGACUGCUCACACUGAGAAUGCCAUUAUAGGAAUAAGGAUUAGACUAGCUGCCAAUUUUACAUUGCUUACUGAGCUUCAUUACUCUUAGCAGCAUUUACUUUCAGAUGGGAAACAGCCCAACACCAGUAGGCAAAAAUGUGAAAUAAAAUAAAAGAAUAGCUAGAAAGGCAUUAUUUGCUAAUUUUCCAUUUCUCGGCACCUCCAUGAGGAAAAAAAGAGUCUGUUGAUUUCUAUUACACCUUUAUGUAACAUCCUUGUAAACAGAUGUCCUUGGACUCUUUCUAUUGUGGUUAAACUAUUGUGCUAGCUAGAAAUGCUGUCAGAAAUUCACUUUAUUUUUAUUUUUUUUUUUAAGAUGAAUUUUAAAGGCAAAUAGUUGCUUUCUAACAAACCCAACGUAUAGAGUCAUUGCUGUUUUUAAGUACCAGAUAGACAAUGACUGCAGACUGUAACUGCAGAGGGUCUGUAUACCUUGAUGCACCAGACAACCAUUGGUUGUUUGAAAGGAAUAGAAAGCUGUUACUUGAAAGAAAUAAAGAAAACAAGAAGCAUUUGUACUCCUAGCUACAAAAUGUUGUAGAAAGCACUAUUUUUGAGCAAUGCAGUAUUAAACCAUACCUCUUUUUUUUUUUUUUUUAUUUUGCUGAGAAGUUCACUUCCAUAAGGAGAUGAAGGAGAAGAGGAUAGUGGGGAAAAGAAGUCAGAACUGUAAUUUUGAAAUGACUCAGUAGAAAAUUGAAGUGCAAAUCUUUAUGUUGAGAGCUGUAUAAGCUACUUAAAGUCUUGCAGUUUUUAAAACUUUAAAUAUAGUCGUUCAUAGUAUAUUCAGUAAUUUAUUUAUUUCUUUUUAAAUCCUUACCUUGAUUGCCUUCCUGCAAAUACACGUUCAUUUGUUCUUGACAAUUUGCAAUUUUGGAAGAUCUUUCAGGAUGAUGAUUAUUUACAUCUUCUUAAUUCUGUACUCUGAAUACUAUGAUAGUGCUUAAAAAAGCACUUCUAUUUACGAAGCACCAACGAUUGAGAAAUAACAUAGAUAAGACAUAAUUUGAUUAGACUUCAAUUUCACAUGCAAGAGUUAAAGAGUAAUGCACAUCUCAGAAUUAUUUUUAGCUUCAUAUGCUUGGACUGAUCUUUCACAGGCAUCAGUGUGUCCCUGAGGUACACCUUGCAGUGGUUUCAUUGAAUUCAGUCAGAAAGAUGUAGAUGCAGAAGUUCAAAUAAAGAGGUUCAUCAGGAAGAAAUCAAAACAACACACCUGGUUACGCCAGGCUUUGUAACACUUGAUUUUUAAUUCCUAUGUGCUCAGACAAAUGAGCAUCUGUGCUGGUGAGGCUGAGCUCCUGAUGAUACUCUGCAGACCUCAGUGUACUUCUAGAGGAGUGGAUGGUCCAGCUGCCCAAUUAUUGCAAUGUCAGGCCUACCAUAUAGUCAAGCCUAAGUAUUCAGCCUAAUUUUGAAUGUGUGCACUGUCUCAUGAAAGAUCAAUGUGUGAAAUGCAGCUGGUUUGACUGCUUGCCAAUCGGCGCAAUAUGUUUGACUUUAUUUUGACUCUUCUGUGUUUUGGAACCACAUUUUGGUGCAAUGUUUAAGGAUCAGUCAAUUACGUGUCUGUGCACACAUCAAUUAUGUAUGACAUUUGAAAGAAAGAGCAGGAGAUCAGAUCAAUGACAAUUCAUCAUGUUAUGUUUCACUCUGGCAAGCUGAAUUGUAGGAAUAUUUGUGAUUCCUGUCCCUGUUUGCCUGUUUGUGCUCCACAGGCCGAUGCCAGCCAGGAGUGGGGGCUGCUGGUACUGCAGUUGUACUGCUAUUUGUUUAGUAUAUUGAGUUCUCUGGCAACUUCAAAGGUCAAACCUACUUGCUAGCUAGGAAGGAGCAGUGAGAUGGCAGUUUUAAGUUCUCAUGUAGUGCAGCUGCAACGCACACGCCCUGUGUCUUUGUACUAAUGAGUUGGUUCCGACCGUGCUGUUAUAGUAUGUCUGAAUGCAGAUGAGGCCUCGUGCUGACUACCUCUGUGCAAUAAAUUACAGGCUCAUGCAGCAGUGGGUGUUGGUGGCGAUCCCUUGGCAACAGGAGCAUCUGUUUGCCAUGUGAUUCAGGGAAGGGAUGGUGGGGGAAUAGUAAACAAGAGAAAUUAAUUUAAUUGGGAGUUCAAUCCAGUGAUGCACGUGGUGUAGACAAUGCCCAUGAUAUCAACUCCAACUGAGGAAAGUCCUACAGCUUCUGGUAGGAAAUAAAGGUGAACUUGGCUAUGCUGUAGUUUAUGUUGUGCUCUAAAAUGUAACAAAAGAUGUCAUCUGUUUCCUGCAUCUGAGCCGGGUUUACCAGGAUAUUGUGUUCAAAACACACACACAUUUCUAGAUUUUGAGGAAACAUGAUGCUCUUUUACCUGUUGCAUUGUAAUUGGAUAAUGCAUGUACAAAUGACUUGUUUAGCCUGCCAAUGAAUGUUGCUAAUGCCUUACCAAAAAGAAGCAUAUUUUUUGUAUUUUUUUUCCUCAGAGGCAAAUCCAAACAAUGCUAGAUUUGGGAAACUGUUUACUGAAAAGCAUUUUCUAACAGAUCUCUGAAGAAGUGCAAUUGUAUAAUUAUUAUUGUUCAGUGCAUACAGUACAUUGUCUCCAUCACUCUGUACACUGCUGCUAUUAGUGCUUGUUCUAAUAAAUCUCAAUGUACACUGUUUAAGCUGCUGUGUGAUCUGCGUUCUGAUUUAUCGGCAUAAGAAACACUUCAGCGUAUGAUUUUCUGACGACUUGUUUGUAAGCAGGUAAGUGAACCGACCAUUAACCGUACAAUCCUGAAUAUACGCUGUGCAGAUCGAUUUCGCAGAGGCGGGUGACAGCAGCAGCAGUAGCACCGAAGCAGCUCGUGCCACCUAACUCUCUGCACAGUUCCUUUAAACCUGGCAGGAGUUACCAACCGCAGUCUCCAAGAAGAUAAUUUUCUGUUUGUCAGUUCCCAGUUUUAUCUUCACACUACAGCUGGUAAGAGCCCUUUGCUUUUGUCUCGUCAGCUUGCGCCUUGUGAUUAAAGGGAGCUCAAAGCAGCAUGUUUCUCAAGUUGUGUGAGAGGGAGUAGAGGAAAUGGGUUCCUGGUGUUCUCUAAUAGAAUUGAAAAAAGAGUUGUGGAAAUAGAGGAGAGAAAAGAAGUUACUAGACACCUACCCUUCCUGGCAUCUCCUUGGGAAAAACAGCGCUAUGUGAGAUUUUUCCAUCAUGUGUUCCUGUCUGUUGUUCAGCCCUUAAAUCAAUUACAUUUCGUUUGAAAUGAAAGCAGAGGAGAAAACAACUAUUUGUUUUGGAGGAGAAACUGAGGUUUUUGUUGUUUCCUGGCAUUAUAAAAGAGCAAGUGUUGAAGCAUCUGGAAGGCUUCCAGCCUGGAAGCAGCAGCAAAGAAGGGAAAAGAUUUUUUUUUUCAUAAGUGUUUUUUUUUUUUUUCCUGCCACAGGAAUGUAUUGCUGAUGUCAUCCAAACCUUACAUGUUCUGAGCGUGGUCGUGCACCCCGUGCUAAUUCUGUUACAGGAUUUUUUUAGCAGAAUAGCUCAGGAUUCACAUUUCUGUAGAUGGGGUCUGUGUUGCUGAAUGCCUUGCCAAACCAUCCUGACUCUCUUCAUUGACUGUUGCUCUGCAAAAGUGGUGUAAAUGAAAUGUGAAAAGUUGCACGUUGUAAUUUAAUUGGUUAAACAAACAACAAACCUUUGGGAAGAAAGGAGAGAGCAAGAGGGCUGUGAGGCAGCACUGCCGGUCUGCCUCUCUCUUCUUUGCGUCUAAUUCAGCAGAAAAACUAUUCCUUGA
ensembl:lncRNA